ACGAGUUUGAAAUUUGAUGUAAUCCGCGUUCGGCGGAGUUAAUUUGAAAUACGGGCGAAAUGAAUUCUAAGAUUGAAAUCGAGCUUCUGAGUAAAUAUAGGAAACGACCUUUUGUCGUUUUCCUUGUUUCUGAAAACAGCGCAAUUGACAUCUCUCUCUCUCUCUCUCUCUCUCUCUUCUUUUUUUAACUAUUAAUCACAUAUAAUCC
rnacentral:lncRNA from 1 species